rnacentral:rRNA from 1 species
GAUGAACGCUGACAGAAUGCUUAACACAUGCAAGUCGAUGGGGAAGUGGUGCUUGCACCAUUGCAACCAUGGCGGACGGGUGAGUAACGCGUAAGGGACUUACCUGCAGGACUGGGAUAACAGGGGGAAACUCCUGACAAGACCGGAUAAUGUCAUGGAGCUGCAUGGCUUUAUGAUGAAAGGAGACGCCUGCGGAGAGCCUUGCGUCCUAUUAGCUAGUUGGUGAGGUAAUGGCUCACCAAGGCGAAGAUAGGUAGCCGGCCUGAGAGGGUGGACGGCCACAAGGGGACUGAGAUACGGCCCUUACUCCUACGGGAGGCAGCAGUGGGGAAUAGUGGACAAUGGGGGCAACCCUGAUCCAGCAAUUCUGUGUGCACGAAGAAGGUUUUCGGAUUGUAAAGUGCUUUCAGCAGGGAAGAAGUAAGUGACGGUACCUGCAGAAGAAGCGACGGCUAAAUACGUG